AGAGUUUGAUCCUGGCUCAGAUUGAACGCUGGCGGCAUGCCUUACACAUGCAAGUCGAACGGCAGCGCGGGGCAACCUGGCGGCGAGUGGCGAACGGGUGAGUAAUAUAUCGGAACGUGCCCUGGAGUGGGGGAUAACGCAGCGAAAGUUGCGCUAAUACCGCAUACGAUCUAAGGAUGAAAGCAGGGGACCGCAAGGCCUUGUGCUCCUGGAGCGGCCGAUAUCUGAUUAGCUAGUUGGUGGGGUAAAGGCCUACCAAGGCAUCGAUCAGUAGCUGGUCUGAGAGGACGACCAGCCACACUGGAACUGAGACACGGUCCAGACUCCUACGGGAGGCAGCAGUGGGGAAUUUUGGACAAUGGGCGCAAGCCUGAUCCAGCAAUGCCGCGUGAGUGAAGAAGGCCUUCGGGUUGUAAAGCUCUUUUGUCAGGGAAGAAACGGUGCGGGCUAAUAUCCUGUACUAAUGACGGUACCUGAAGAAUAAGCACCGGCUAACUACGUGCCAGCAGCCGCGGUAAUACGUAGGGUGCAAGCGUUAAUCGGAAUUACUGGGCGUAAAGCGUGCGCAGGCGGUUUUGUAAGUCUGUCGUGAAAUCCCCGGGCUCAACCUGGGAAUUGCGAUGGAGACUGCAAGGCUAGAAUCUGGCAGAGGGGGGUAGAAUUCCACGUGUAGCAGUGAAAUGCGUAGAGAUGUGGAGGAACACCGAUGGCGAAGGCAGCCCCCUGGGUCAAGAUUGACGCUCAUGCACGAAAGCGUGGGGAGCAAACAGGAUUAGAUACCCUGGUAGUCC
rnacentral:rRNA from 1 species